rnacentral:RNase_P_RNA from 1 species
GACGGGCGUUCGCUCUAUUUUAUGGAGAGGAAAGUCCGGACACCACAGAGCGGAAUUCCGAUUGAAAGGUCGGGGAGCCUAAAGGCUUACGGAAAGUGCCACAGAAAACAGACCGCCGCGCGAGCGGCAAGGGUGAAAAGGCGGGGUAAGAGCCCACCGCGGUUCGGAGCAAUCCGGCCGGCACGGUAAACCCAAUUCGGUGCAAGACAACAUAUAGAGACGAGUUGCUCGCUCGAUGUCUCAGGGUGUGUCGCACUCCUUGCGGAGGGUUGCAAUUUAUUUGCAGCCAGAUAAAUGAACGCUAUGGCGCGUACAAACGCGUGCGCGCCGAAACAGAAUCCGGCUUACAGUUU